UAAUAAACAGACAUUGCUGGCUUUUCUUGU
rnacentral:piRNA from 2 species